rnacentral:misc_RNA from 1 species
GAUGAAGAACGCAGCGAAAUGCGAUACGUAAUGUGAAUUGCAGAUCUCAGUGAAUCAUCGAAUCUUUGAACGCACAUUGCGCCCGCCAGUAUUCUGGCGGGCAUGCCUGUUCGAGCGUCAUUUCAACCAUCAAGCCUUCGCUUGUGUUGGGGCCCCGCGGCUGCCGCGGUCCCCUAAAUCCAGUGGCGGGCUCGUCGUCGUACCGAGCGCAGUAGACAUCCUCGCUCCGGGAACCCGACGGGUGCCGGCCGUGAAACCCCCCACAUCAAGGUUGACCUCGGAUCAGGUAGGAAUACCCGCUGAACUUAAGCAUAUCAAUAAGCGGAGGA